rnacentral:rRNA from 1 species
AACGUAGGACUCAAGCGUUAUCCGGAUUUACUGGGCGUAAAGCGCGUGCAGGCGGCACGGUAAGUUGGGCGUGAAAGCUCCUGGCUCAACUAGGAGAGGUCGUUCAAUACUGCCGGGCUAGAGGGCGACAGAGGGGAGUGGAAUUCCGGGUGUAGUGGUGAAAUGCGUAGAUAUCCGGAGGAACACCAGUGGCGAAGGCGGCUCCCUGGGUCGCUCCUGACGAUCAGACGCGAAAGCUAGGGUAGCGAACGGG